GCAUGACCGAAUUCUGUGUUAGCUUCUUGCUAUAGUUAAUACAGUCAGACAUCAUGCUACAGUAUGCUCACUCUAAACAUCUAUAAUGCCAUGUCCUGCCAUAGCACAGUUGGCAGAAUUGUUCAUAGAGUGAAUACAAUA
ensembl:snoRNA